AUUGAACGCUGGCGGCAUGCUUUACACAUGCAAGUCGAACGGUAACAGGCCGCAAGGUGCUGACGAGUGGCGAACGGGUGAGUAAUGCAUCGGAACGUGCCCAGUCGUGGGGGAUAACGCAGCGAAAGCUGCGCUAAUACCGCAUACGAUCUAUGGAUGAAAGCGGGGGACCGAAAGGCCUCGCGCGAUUGGAGCGGCCGAUGUCAGAUUAGGUAGUUGGUGGGGUAAAGGCUCACCAAGCCAACGAUCUGUAGCUGGUCUGAGAGGACGACCAGCCACACUGGGACUGAGACACGGCACAGACUCCGACGGGAGGCAGCAGUGGGGAAUUUUGGACAAUGGGCGCAAGCCUGAUCCAGCAAUGCCGCGUGCAGGAAGAAGGCCUUCGGGUUGUAAACUGCUUUUGUACGGAACGAAACGGUCCGGGUUAAUACCUCGGGCUAAUGACGGUACCGUAAGAAUAAGCACCGGCUAACUACGUGCCAGCCGCCGCCGUAAAAC
rnacentral:rRNA from 1 species